rnacentral:tRNA from 1 species
GCCCAUAUGGCGGAAUGGUAGACGCAAGGGACUUAAAAUCCCUAGUUUUUAUAAACGUGUCAGUUCAAGUCUGACUUUGGGUA